GCUGGCGGCAGGCCUACACAUGCAAGCUCGAACGCCGUAGCAAUACGGAGUGGCAGACGGGUGAGUAACACGUGGGAACAUACCCUUUGGUUCGGAAUAACUCAGGGAAACUUGGGCUAAUACCGGAUACGCCCUACGGGGGAAAGAUUUAUUGCCGAAGGAUUGGCCCGCGUCUGAUUAGCUAGUUGGUGAGGUAAUGGCUCACCAAGGCGACGAUCAGUAGCUGGUCUGAGAGGAUGAUCAGCCACAUUGGGACUGAGACACGGCCCAAACUCCUACGGGAGGCAGCAGUGGGGAAUAUUGGACAAUGGGCGCAAGCCUGAUCCAGCCAUGCCGCGUGAGUGAUGAAGGCCUUAGGGUUGUAAAGCUCUUUUACCUGGGAAGAUAAUGACGGUACCAGGAGAAUAAGCCCCGGCUAACUUCGUGCCAGCAGCCGCGGUAAUACGAAGGGGGCUAGCGUUGUUCGGAUUUACUGGGCGUAAAGCGCACGUAGGCGGAUCUUUAAGUCAGGGGUGAAAUCCCAAGGCUCAACCUUGGAACUGCCUUUGAUACUGGGGAUCUCGAGUCCGGGAGAGGUGAGUGGAACUGCGAGUGUAGAGGUGAAAUUCGUAGAUAUUCGCAAGAACACCAGUGGCGAAGGCGGCUCACUGGCCCGGUACUGACGCUGAGGUGCGAAA
rnacentral:rRNA from 1 species